GACGAACGCUGGCGGCGUGCCUAAUACAUGCAAGUCGAACGAGAGCAACCGGUGCUUGCACUGGUCAAUCUAGUGGCGAACGGGUGAGUAACACGUGGGUAACCUGCCCAUCAGAGGGGGAUAACAUCCGGAAACGGAUGCUAAAACCGCAUAGGUCUUCGAACCGCAUGGUUUGAAGAGGAAAAGAGGCGCAAGCUUCUGCUGAUGGAUGGACCCGCGGUGCAUUAGCUAGUCGGUGAGGUAACGGCUCACCAAGGCCGUGAUGCAUAGCCGACCUGAGAGGGUGAUCGGCCACAUUGGGACUGAGACACGGCCCAAACUCCUACGGGAGGCAGCAGUAGGGAAUCUUCCGCAAUGGACGCAAGUCUGACGGAGCAACGCCGCGUGAGUGAAGAAGGUUUUCGGAUCGUAAAACUCUGUUGUUAGAGAAGAACAAGUGCUAGAGUAACUGUUAGCGCCUUGACGGUAUCUAACCAGAAAGCCACGGCUAACUACGUG
rnacentral:rRNA from 1 species